rnacentral:rRNA from 1 species
GAUGAACGCUGGCGGCGUGCCUAAUACAUGCAAGUCGAGCGAACAGACGAGGAGCUUGCUCCUCUGACGUUAGCGGCGGACGGGUGAGUAACACGUGGAUAACCUACCUAUAAGACUGGGAUAACUUCGGGAAACCGGAGCUAAUACCGGAUAAUAUAUUGAACCGCAUGGUUCAAUAGUGAAAGACGGUUUUGCUGUCACUUAUAGAUGGAUCCGCGCCGCAUUAGCUAGUUGGUAAGGUAACGGCUUACCAAGGCAACGAUGCGUAGCCGACCUGAGAGGGUGAUCGGCCACACGGGAACUGAGACACGGUCCAGACUCCUACGGGAGGCAGCAGUAGGGAAUCUUCCGCAAGGGGCGAAAGCUUGACGGAGCAACGCCGCGUGAGGGAUGAAGGUCUUCGGAUCGUAAAACUCUGUUAUUAGGGAAGAACAAAUGUGUAAGUAACUAUGCACGUCUUGACGGUACCUAAUCAGAAAGCCACGGCUAACUACGUG